rnacentral:lncRNA from 1 species
GCAUUUGGAGCUGAACCAAAAGCCUAACUACACUUAAUCUUUUCUACAUUUUGAUGUAUUUUAUACAAAGAAUACGUCUCAAAGACAAUUUUAUAAUAAAACACAUCAUGAGAAUCAUUGGAAUAUAAAAGCAUCAUUAUUGUUGAAAUACUCUCUAUAAUAUCUAUUGUGAAAAAAAAUAUUAAUAACUUUAUAAUAUCUUAGUAUCUAAAUAACUUUUUUAAAACCCUAAAUCAAUAAAAAGUUAACAUGUAUACAUAAGUGUCUCAUACCUUUUUUAGAUUACCUCUACUAAGAUACAUAUUUUGCUUGCAAUCUUUCUUUUUUUCUAAUUCUUUUUGUUUUAAUAUUGUGUAGAUACUCUCCAGUAAUUUGUAACUAUGUUGUACAAAUAAUAGUGUAAGCUUUCAACUGACUUCAUAUGUUGUGAAUUUUCUAUCUCUAAUAAUACCUUUUUCAAGAUUCAUAUGUUGUGAAUUUUCUAUCUUUAAUAAUACUAUUUUCACAGUUUCUUGAAGGGUGUCAUCGUGGACCUGAUUAUUGUAUUUUUUCCUACAUUUUACCUUUGAGUAUUUAUAUCUUUUUCUCUAGAUUCUGGAUUUUAUUGGGCUCAUACUUCUAACUCAUGCAUAUGCUGAAUUUGCAUCUUCCCAACUUUUUUGAAU